UAGGGCGGGACACGUGGUAUCCUGUCUGAAUAUGGGGGGACCAUCCUCCAAGGCUAAAUACUCCUGACUGACCGAUAGUGAACCAGUACCGUGAGGGAAAGGCGAAAAGAACCCCGGCGAGGGGAGUGAAAAAGAACCUGAAACCGUGUACGUACAAGCAGUGGGAGCCUCUUUAUGGGGUGACUGCGUACCUUUUGUAUAAUGGGUCAGCGACUUAUAUUCUGUAGCAAGGUUAACCGAAUAGGGGAGCCGAAGGGAAACCGAGUCUUAACUGGGCGUUAAGUUGCAGGGUAUAGACCCGAAACCCGGUGAUCUAGCCAUGGGCAGGUUGAAGGUUGGGUAACACUAACUGGAGGACCGAACCGACUAAUGUUGAAAAAUUAGCGGAUGACUUGUGGCUGGGGGUGAAAGGCCAAUCAAACCGGGAGAUAGCUGGUUCUCCCCGAAAGCUAUUUAGGUAGCGCCUCGUGAAUUCAUCUCCGGGGGUAGAGCACUGUUUCGGCAAGGGGGUCAUCCCGACUUACCAACCCGAUGCAAACUGCGAAUACCGGAGAAUGUUAUCACGGGAGACACACGGCGGGUGCUAACGUCCGUCGUGAAGAGGGAAACAACCCAGACCGCCAGCUAAGGUCCCAAAGUCAUGGUUAAGUGGGAAACGAUGUGGGAAGGCCCAGACAGCCAGGAUGUUGGCUUAGAAGCAGCCAUCAUUUAAAGAAAGCGUAAUAGCUCACUGGUCGAGUCGGCCUGCGCGGAAGAUGUAACGGGGCUAAACCAUGCACCGAAGCUGCGGCAGCGACACUAUGUGUUGUUGGGUAGGGGAGCGUUCUGUAAGCCUGUGAAGGUGGCCUGUGAGGGUUGCUGGAGGUAUCAGAAGUGCGAAUGCUGACAUAAGUAACGAUAAAGCGGGUGAAAAGCCCGCUCGCCGGAAGACCAAGGGUUCCUGUCCAACGUUAAUCGGGGCAGGGUGAGUCGACCCCUAAGGCGAGGCCGAAAGGCGUAGUCGAUGGGAAACAGGUUAAUAUUCCUGUACUUGGUGUUACUGCGAAGGGGGGACGGAGAAGGCUAUGUUGGCCGGGCGACGGUUGUCCCGGUUUAAGCGUGUAGGCUGGUUUUCCAGGCAAAUCCGGAAAACCAAGGCUGAGGCGUGAUGACGAGGCACUACGGUGCUGAAGCGACAAAUGCCCUGCUUCCAGGAAAAGCCUCUAAGCAUCAGGUAACAUCAAAUCGUACCCCAAACCGACACAGGUGGUCAGGUAGAGAAUACCAAGGCGCUUGAGAGAACUCGGGUGAAGGAACUAGGCAAAAUGGUGCCGUAACUUCGGGAGAAGGCACGCUGAUAUGUAGGUGAAGCGACUUGCUCGUGGAGCUGAAAUCAGUCGAAGAUACCAGCUGGCUGCAACUGUUUAUUAAAAACACAGCACUGUGCAAACACGAAAGUGGACGUAUACGGUGUGACGCCUGCCCGGUGCCGGAAGGUUAAUUGAUGGGGUUAGCGGUAACGCGAAGCUCUUGAUCGAAGCCCCGGUAAACGGCGGCCGUAACUAUAACGGUCCUAAGGUAGCGAAAUUCCUUGUCGGGUAAGUUCCGACCUGCACGAAUGGCGUAAUGAUGGCCAGGCUGUCUCCAC
rnacentral:rRNA from 1 species